rnacentral:rRNA from 1 species
UCCACGCCGUAAACGAUGUCAACUAGCCGUUUGUGUCCUUGAGACGUGAGUGGCGCAGCUAACGCACUAAGUUGACCGCCUGGGGAGUACGGCCGCAAGGUUAAAACUCAAAUGAAUUGACGGGGGCCCGCACAAGCGGUGGAGCAUGUGGUUUAAUUCGAUGCAACGCGAAGAACCUUACCAUCCCUUGACAUCCAGAGAAGCGACUAGAGAUAGACGUGUGCCUUCGGGAACUCUGUGACAGGUGCUGCAUGGCUGUCGUCAGCUCGUGUUGUGAAAUGUUGGGUUAAGUCCCG